ACUGGUGAGCAGUACCGGCUGUU
rnacentral:misc_RNA from 1 species